rnacentral:misc_RNA from 1 species
AAAAGAAAUUGCAUGAUGGGACAAAUUUUGACUGAUCUUUAUUCUUUUCUGCUUUCCAUUUUCAAAACUGGUUUUUAUGAAUUUUUAGCAGCCCUCUUAUUCUGAUGAGGACUAGCAAUCUAUGCACAAAGAUCAGGCUGUCUGUAAGCCACAUGAACCACAAUAAGCAUGCAUUAAUUCCUGAUGCUGAUACCCUUCUCUUUGAAGUCCCAAUAACUUAAUUCCAUAUUCCCUUCAAUCCUACGCUCUCAAACCAUUCCAAAAAUUUUCCAGAAAAGAAGAUUCCCCUCUGGAAAAUUCCCGUACAUUUCAAGCAAAUGCAGUGUUAGAGCUACCUUGGAAUGGCCACCGUUGAUAUCCCACUUUUUGUCAUAUAAAUGCAGCUUGAAUCUAUCUCCCCCUUCCUCAAUUAAUCCUCAGGGUCAUCAGCUUAUAACAAAGAUGUCCAUAAUUUCCAGUAAAUUUUAUGGGUCUUAUGAUCCUUUGAGUUUCGAUGUUUGGGACCCCUAUCAUGAUUUUCAUUGUGGAGGCACUACUCUCGCACCUCACCCAGUAGCUUCCUCCCACGGAGCAACGCCCUUUUCUAAUGCCAAGGUUGAGUGGAAGGAAAACCCAGAGGCACUUGUGGUGAGAGCUGAUCUUCCAGGGCUCAAGAAAGAUGAAGUGAAGGUGGAACUUGAGGAGGGUAACCUCCUAUGCAUAAGCGGUGAGAGGAACAUUGAGAAAGAAGAAAGAGUUGAUAACUGGUACCAUGUUGAACGCAGCAGAGGCAGGUUUGUUCAGCGUUUUAGGUUGCCUGAGAACGCAAAUGCUGAUCAGAUGAAGGCUUGUAUGGAAAAUGGAGUUCUUACCAUCACCGUUCCUAAAAGGGAAAUGAAGAGAACCUCCAAGACCAUUCAUAUUUUCUGAAGACCAAAGGGAUGCAACUUGUCGUUUUAAGCAAGCUAAGGAAGGAGCAAUAAAUGCGACUUUGAUAAAUAAUAAAAUGAGUGGUAAUUGCUGGUUAUUGUAAGAGUUAAUGGAUUUAAUAUAAAUAAAGGCAAUGAUUAAUUGCUGGUUAUUGUAAGAUUAUGAUCCUCCAAUUAAUUAAAAUGAUUUUUUUUUUUUGUCUCAAAA